CGUUUAUUCGUUUGUGUCAUUCAGACUUAUUUCCGAGUCAAAACUGAAUUGAAGGUCAUCGGACAUAUGUCCGACCCAAACUCAACGUCACCGGACAUUUUGUCAGACGGCCCUGUAAAAGAUAUUUUAAGGCCUGCUACGGACUCAUGUGAAAGUAGUCAGUCAACGCUCUGUCGAGAGUCGUGGGUUUUCUCUAAGUGUUCCG